rnacentral:tRNA from 1 species
UUUAAUAUGGCAGACCAGUGCAAUGAAUUUAAGCUUCAUAUAGAAAAUUAUAUAUUUUUAUUGAAA